CAGUCGCCGCGGUAAUACGUAGGGUGCAAGCGUUAAUCGGAAUUACUGGGCGUAAAGCGUGCGCAGGCGGUUUGUUAAGACAGAUGUGAAAUCCCCGGGCUCAACCUGGGAACUGCAUUUGUGACUGGCAAGCUAGAGUCUGGCAGAGGGGGGUGGAAUUCCGCGUGUAGCAGUGAAAUGCGUAGAUAUGCGGAGGAACACCGAUGGCGAAGGCAGCCCCCUGGGCCAACACUGACGCUCAUGCACGAAAGCGUGGGGAGCAAACAGGAUUAGAUACCCCGGUAGUCCAUGUCUCUUAUAC
rnacentral:rRNA from 1 species